GAUACUUCAGAAAUGCUUAGAAAAAGUGAAUGGCAUCAAUGAACAUUUUAUUAACCAUUGUUAUUAUUAUUUAUGGUAAGUAUGCCCUGGGUCUAGCCUCCCUACUGUACACUUCAGUGACCUGCUUCUCUUCCUAAAACAGAGGGAACCAAAGAGAUAUGAUAGGCUUUAUGGACCUAGCUGUUUAAGGAGCUAAGAAGGCCCUGCAAACUCUGAUCUGUUUAUAACUUAAGUGCUCUGAAUACAGCAGAACUCUUGGUCUCCCUUUGAGCCUGAGUGAAUAUUUUAAAGGGUGAAUAUUUUAAAAGGUUGCAGAUAACCUACACCUCCUAACACCUUAGAUAAAGAGUAGUUUCUUAUAUCU
rnacentral:lncRNA from 1 species